rnacentral:rRNA from 1 species
UCGCCUGUUUAACAAAAACAUAGCUAAACAAAAUUUAGUGUAUCUGCCCCCUGAUAACUUUUUAAGGCAUCCACUAAGGUAGCAAAAUAAUUAGUCUUUUAAUUGGAGACUAGAAUGAAGACAGUAUUACCCCGAAAAAUCUAUUCUAUAUAUAUGAAAUUAGGCCCUAGGUGAAAACCCCUAGCUAGCCCCCGCAGACGAUAAGACCCUAGAACCUUUACUAAGUUUAGCUGGGAUAGCUCUAUUAAUACAACAAAUUACAAAUAAUCAUCUAUAACCAGUCUUACCGCUCUUAAAAGAAGGUACUCUAGGGAUAACAGCGCUACUCAGCCCACAAGUCCAAAUUUAAGGCUGAUUUAGUGACCUCGAUGUUGAAUUAAGUUCCUCACCCCCGCAACAGGGUCCUGAGGCUAAGUCUGUUCGACUUACCAAACUUACGUGAUCUGAGUUCAGACCGG